UACGAAGGGUGCAAGCGUUAAUCGGAAUUACUGGGCGUAAAGCGUGCGUAGAUGGUUCGCUAAGUCGGAUGUGAAAGCCCCGGGCUCAACCUGGGAACUGCAUCCGAUACUGGCGGACUAGAGUGUGAUAGAGGAUGGCGGAAUUCCCGGUGUAGCGGUGAAAUGCGUAGAGAUCGGGAGGAACAUCCGUGGCGAAGGCGGCCAUCUGGAUCAACACUGACGUUGAGGCACGAAAGCGUGGGGAGCAAACAGG
rnacentral:ncRNA from 2 species